CAGUCGCCGCGGUAAUACGUAGGUGGCAAGCGUUGUCCGGAAUUAUUGGGCGUAAAGCGCGCGCAGGCGGAUCAGUUAGUCUGUCUUAAAAGUUCGGGGCUUAACCCCGUGAUGGGAUGGAAACUGCUGAUCUAGAGUAUCGGAGAGGAAAGUGGAAUUCCUAGUGUAGCGGUGAAAUGCGUAGAUAUUAGGAAGAACACCAGUGGCGAAGGCGACUUUCUGGACGAAAACUGACGCUGAGGCGCGAAAGCCAGGGGAGCGAACGGGAUUAGAUACCCCUGUAGUCCCUGUCUCUUAUACU
rnacentral:rRNA from 1 species